CGGGUGAGUAACACGUGGAUAACCUGCCUCACACUGGGGGACAACAGUUAGAAAUGACUGCUAAUACCGCAUAAGCGCACAGUACCGCAUGGUACAGUGUGAAAAACUCCGGUGGUGUGAGAUGGAUCCGCGUCUGAUUAGCCAGUUGGCGGGGUAACGGCCCACCAAAGCGACGAUCAGUAGCCGACCUGAGAGGGUGACCGGCCACAUUGGGACUGAGACACGGCCCAA
rnacentral:rRNA from 2 species